GAACGAACGCUGGCGGCAGGCUUAACACAUGCAAGUCGAGCGCAUCCUUCGGGGUGAGCGGCGGACGGGUGAGUAACGCGUGGGAACGUGCCCUCUUCUACGGAAUAGCCUCGGGAAACUGAGAGUAAUGCCGUAUACGCCCGCAAGGGGAAAGAUUUAUCGGAGGAGGAUCGGCCCGCGUUGGAUUAGGUAGUUGGUGGGGUAACGGCCUACCAAGCCGACGAUCCAUAGCUGGUUUGAGAGGAUGAUCAGCCACACUGGGACUGAGACACGGCCCAGACUCCUACGGGAGGCAGCAGUGGGGAAUCUUGGACAAUGGGGGCAACCCUGAUCCAGCCAUGCCGCGUGAUCGAUGAAGGCCUUAGGGUUGUAAAGAUCUUUCAGCUGGGAAGAUAAUGACGGUACCAGCAGAAGAAGCCCCGGCUAACUCCGUG
rnacentral:rRNA from 1 species